rnacentral:rRNA from 1 species
UACGUAGGCAGCAAGCGUUGUUCGGAGUUACUGGGCGUAAAGGGUGCGUAGGCGGUUGUUUAAGUUUGGUGUGAAAUCUCCCGGCUCAACUGGGAGGGUGCGCCGAAUACUGAAUGACUAGAGUGCGGGAGAGGAGAGUGGAAUUCCUGGUGUAGCGGUGAAAUGCGUAGAUAUCAGGAGGAACACCGGUGGUGUAGACGGCUCUCUGGACCGUAACUGACGCUGGGGCACGAAAGCGUGGGUAGCAAACAGG